GGGUAGUUAGCUCAGCGGAAGAGCGUUCGCCUCACACGCGAGAGGUCGCAGGUUCAAACCCUGCACUACCCACCA
rnacentral:tRNA from 1 species